UUCGAUCAUGGCUCAGAUUGAACGCUGGCGGGAUGCUUUACACAUGCAAGUCGAACGGCAGCACGGACUUCGGUCUGGUGGCGAGUAGCGAAACCACGGGUGAGUAAUGUCGGAACGUGCCUAGUAGCCCCCACUGAGGGAUAGCUUCGCAGCGUAGCUAAUACCGCAUACGCCCUUCGAGGAAAGCGGGGGACCUUCGGGCCUCGCACUAGAGCGGCCGAUAUCAGGAUUAGCUAGUUGGUGGGAGGGUAACGGCUCACCCAGGCGACGAUCCGUAGCUGGUUUGAGGAAGAGACGACAGCCACACUGGGACUGAACCUUACGGCAGACUCCUGGGAGGCAGCAGUGGGGAAUUUUGGACAAUGUGAAACCCUGAUCCAGCCAUCCCGCGUGUGCGAUGAAGGCCUUCGGUUGUAACGCGCUUUUGGCAGGAAAGAAACGGCACGGGAUAAUACCCCGUGCAACUGACUUACCUGCAGAAUGAGCACACCGGCUAACUACGUGCCAGCAACCGCGGUAAUACGUAAAAGUGCAAGCGUUAAUCGGAAUUACUGGGCGUAAAGCGUGCGCAGGCGGUUCGGAAAGAAAGAUGUGAAAUCCCGAAGCAACUUUUUUGGAACUGCAUUUUAACUACCGAGCUAGAGUGUGUCAGAGGGAGGUGGAAUUCCGCGUGUAGCAGCAGUGAAAUGCGUAGAUAUGCCGAGAAGAACGCGAUGGCGUGACAACCUCCUGGGAUAACUACGGCGCUCAUGCGAAAGCGAUGGGAGCAAACAGGAUUGAAAAGAUACCCUGGUAGUCACGCCUAAACGAUGUCAACUAGCUGUUGGGGCCUUCGGGCCUUGGUAGCGCAACUAACGCGUGAAGUUGACCGCCUGCAAGUACGGUCGCAAGAUUAAAACUCAAAGGAAUUGACGGGGACCCGCACAGCGGUGGAUGAUGUCUGGUUAAUUCGAUGCUUUGCCGAAAACCUUACCUACCCUUGACAUGUCUGGAAUCCCGAAGAUUUGGGAGUGCUCGCAAGAGAACCGGAACACGGGUGCUGCAUGGCUGUCGUCAGCUCGUGUCGUGAGAUGUUGGGUUAAGUCCACAACAAACCACCUGUCUUGUCAUUAGUUGCUACGAAAGGGCACUCUAAUGAGACUGCCGGUACUAAACCGGAGGAAGGUGAGAUGACGGUCGAAAGUCCUCAUGGCCCUUAUGGGUGAACUACGUCAUACAAUGAAGUCCGGGACAGAGGUCGCCAACCCGCGAGGGGGAGCCAAUCCCAGAAACCCGAUCGUAGUCCGGAUCGCAGUCUGCAACUCGACUGCGCGUGAAGUCGGAAUCGCUGGUAAUCGCGGAUCAACGUAAUAUCGGUGAAUACGUUCCCGGGUCUUGUACACACCGCCGUCACACCAUGGGAGUGGGUUGCAGAAGUAGUUAGCCUAACCGUAGAGGCGAUUACCACGGUAGGAUUCAUGACUGGGGUGAAGUCGUAACAAAGGCAA
rnacentral:rRNA from 1 species